UCUGGGUCUAUAAUUUAUGAUAUGCACUUGUGUCCAGUAUAAUUGACUCAGCUGUUUUUUUCCCCUGUUAUAAAUUCUGGAAACAGAUCAGCUUUCCAUCUUCGUCUCAAAAAGAAAAUCAAGACAGCAAAUAACUAAAUGACAGUGAAACGUACCAUGAAAGAUUUUUGUACCAUGAAAG
rnacentral:lncRNA from 12 species